rnacentral:lncRNA from 1 species
GUUUCAUUUCUUUUCUAAUGUGUUAUUUUUAUAUGUCUUUAUUUUUUACUCUGUUAAUUUAUUCCUGUGUUUUUUUAUGCAUAGUAAACAUACUUGUUUGUUCCUCUGCUAAUUCUCAUAACUGAAGCCUCUGUGGGUCUACAUUGGCUGCCUUGUUUUCCUGCCUGCUCUCUUGCUCAUGGUGCCUUGUUUCCGAGUGUAUUUUGUCCUUCUUGACUGUGAGUUCACAUUGCUUGGAUUUUUAUCUGCAGGAAUUAUUUGAAGCCUGCAUUUAAGAUGUUUUCUCUAGAGAGGAUUUGCAUUUGUUUCCAUCACUCACUGGUGCCACCGUGAACUUGGACCCACCGUAAACUAAUUUCUCUGCUUGAGAUUUCAGGCCCAUCCAGGUGAUAUGAAUUCAGCCAGGCUACAAACCAGAGUGAAGGCCAGUUUGAAGUUAUCAAGUGGUAGAGAAAUUUAUUUUUUCCCCUUUCAUUCAGUGCUGAGGUUCAAGACAGGCAAUUUCCCUUGUAGUCCUCUGAGUGGAAGGGCCAGGUAGGGAAGACUAGGCAGAUUAGAUUCUAUUUCACCCUUACACUGAGGCUUUGGUAACUGGGGGGGUCCCAGUUUCAUCUGUGAAAUCUCUAAGACUCCCCACCUCAGUGAACCCCAAGAUUUGUUUUGUUCCCAUAACCCAGGAGGCCAUGAAAACUGAAGCUAAAUUUCAUCUAGGUUAGCAAAAUCUAUAACGUUAAAGGGGCCUCAAUGAUCAGCUGAUGUCUCUGUGUUCUCACGCUCCUUUAGGGCUUGAAUGUUGAAUAAUCUUAAUAGUUUUCAGAGGGUGGACUGGUUAGGGAACUUAAAACUACCAUCUGUGUUGCACUGGAGGUCCAGGUUUCCAAUUUUUCAAAAGAUUACGGAACUUGACAUGGUAUGAUAAAAUCAGCUCAACUUUAAAAGUUGGCAGCUUCUUUUUAAAUUAUGGAUGUGCCAACUUUCUGAGAAUCACAUCUGGCUGAAGAGUUGUCAAUUGGCUAGAAAGCUCCAUGGAAGUUUGUUGAUCAUGGCUCCAUUAGAGAAAGAUAACAUCUAUGAAUGAGACAGAUAUAUAAUUUCGUUUAUUAUAGGAAUUUGUCCUUACACAUUUGGGAGACCUGGUUAAACAAUCUAGGUAAGGUUGUCUUUGUGUCUGAUGCUGGAGCUUGAAGUCAGUGGGAUGGGAAUCAGGAAAAAAAGAUGGAUGUGAAGUGGGGGAGAAUGAUGAUGAACUGGAACCCACGACAAUCUCCCACCACUUCUGUCUUUCUUCCUGAAACUCAGCAUGUACCUAGCCCAGGAGUUGGAGAAGCUAGAAGAAAAUUGGUGGGAGCCAAAAGACUAAAGUCUCGGCUGCUGCCCCACACUAACAAGGUGAUCGAGCAGGUGAUCUCCAACAGUGCCUGUGGCUCUGCACUGAUUUUCCAGCACAAAAAGAGUAUGGCAGAUGCUGCAUUCUCACCUUCCAAACCUCAUGCAGCCAUGCUAACUCAGGGAAGGAUUUUGGGAAAUGUUGUUCCAGCUCAGUCCUUCUGACAUGAACUGGAACAACACCAUCAGCUCUCCCGGAUCUCCAGCUUGCAGACAGCAGAUCAUGGGACUUUUCAGCUUCUGUAAUUGUGAGGUGGUUGAGAACCAUUGACGUAGACUGACUUAGCAGAUCUUCAAAUGUGAAUAGGGAAUCCUGCCAUUCCACUGAUGAGAACAGCAUGCUUAGGAUAUUGCUUCUGAGAAGAGAGGCAUCCUGUUGUAUGUAGUGGCCACAUAACAGACUGCAAAGAACUGGAACGCAGAGUAAUUUUAAUCCAAAAUGUUCAAAGGUAAGUGGCUAAAAAUAGUCCAUUCUUCUUCCAUGCUAAAACUUUAACAACUAUGAGAGAGGAAAAGCUUGACAGAUUCUCUGUAGAAUUUGUCAACUACUUUUGCCAGAGGUCAAAACUGAUCAUAAAUACUGUGCCUUAGUAGCCUAACAUGGCUUCUGAACUGUGAAUAGAAGCUGGGAUUUUGUAGCAAAUGGUGUUCCUCAGAACUCGAGGUUUCCAAGGUGACUGCAUAUGAAACUACAAACAUCACAAUAGCAGUUUCCAGAGGGACUCUCUUUAUGGUCCUCCCCAUACCCUCCAUCCCCAAACUAUUACAUUCUUUACACUGUGAUUCUUUCUAAAGUGAGAUAGAAACUAAAUAAUUGAUUUGAAUAUCAAAGAAAAGAUGUACAUUUCCAUCUUCUCAAUUUUCAUUAGAGUACUGAUUUUUCAAGUCUUCCCAAUAAGACCUAAUGCUCUCAGAACAUCUAAUGACCCAUGCAACUAACUUGACUCCAUGUGUAACAGACAGCUAGGCUGUUGAUUAUUUUAAUUAGCAAUUAAAAGUAAUACAUUCACAAAUGUUAUUUGGAUUUUUCAUUUAAAUGAAAUCUCUAGCUUUGAUCAGGAUUGAAAAUCGGUUCAGCCUAUGGGGCAGUGCAUCAUAGAAGGAGCUCUGGAUUAGGAGGAGAUGCCUGUCAUUGAGUUAGCCACUAACUCGCGAUGGGGACCCAUUCUCCUGUAUACAAUGAGAGGGUUGGACUAGCAAUUGAAAGGGUCCAUCUCUCAGCCCUGAAACACACUUCAUGUUUCUUAGCAGCAAAUAGAUUCUGGAAGAUUAAUAGUCAAUGUAAGUAUACUGCCUGCCAUAUGAUUAUAAUGUAAGAGAUCUCCUGCACUGAGUCAAGUGGUCACCCUGUGCUCUCUUCAUCCCCCAUGCUAGCCUUCAGUAGACAUCCUCAAGAGUAUUCUGUGUCCACUUACUGAUAUAUUGUACAGGAAUCCCUCUCUGUGGGGAGCAAAGUAGGUGAUCCACAUAGCUCUAGGAAGGCUGAAAACAAUAUUAGUGUCUUAUAUGUAAAUAACUAUACCUCACUCAAGCUUAAUUUUUUAAAAGCCACUUACUAAAAUUUAUACCUAAAAAUUAUUGCAUACUUACUAUACAGUAGGCAAUGUGCUAAAUAAAACAUUGUAGGAAGAAGUCACAUUAAUAUUAUUAUCCCCACCUUACAGUUAGUUGGGGGAAGUUAAGCCUAAGGUAACUCAGCUAGCAGCAGAGUAGAUGUUCCCACUGCAACUCUAUCACUAGAACCCAUGCUUUUAAAUGUUACCUGAAAACUGCCACUAUUUACUGGAAUGAACAAAUGCUACAGUAAUAGACUGAGUUUUAGGGCUCUGGGAAAAAGUACAUUGUAAUCAGCUAAAAUUGAGGAAGUACUUAAUUUGUGUCAAGAGACUCUGGGUGAUGUGAAUGUAUACAUUUAAAAUAAUAUAUAUCAUUUUAAAUGGUUAUCUAUUGGAUACAAAUUGAAAAACUUCUAUCUUUGGUCCAGCCAUUAAAUAAAUAUUUUGGUUAGUAACUAGCUUACCUACUUUGCAAUUUUAUAUUACCCAUUUCAGGAUCCUCUGUUAGUGAAAAUGGUAACAUGAGAAGCCUGAAAUGGUAUUUAAAAGCGAUAUGGAGGUCGUUCUGGUGUUGGUCUCAGUAGGGUUAGCUGGGGGAUUAUGUGAAAGCUGAGGGCUGAACAAGUCAGAAGGCAUAUUUGGAAAGUGAUUAAAGUGAUUACAUUCAAUAAUAAUAAUCACUAUGUAGUGAACACCAACGAUGCUUUCAGACUUUCAUAUGGUCCCGCGAGUUCUCAAUACAUCCUAUGCAGUAUGUGGUAGAAUCCCUAUUGAACAGAUGAGGCUCAGUAAGGUGGAAUGACUUGCCCAAGUCCACCCUGUCAUUCACUUGGAGAUGGGGCUCAGGUAACCAGGACUAUCUGGCUUCAAAGUAGCCUUCUUAAAACUUUCCAUUGAAUUGCCAGCUCUCAUAGAGGAUUAGUGCAUUCCUCUGGGGGUCUGGGACACAGACACACAGACUCACUAAAAGGUAAGUGUUUUUUAUGGAAAUCUCUUCUGUUCAGCUUCAAAAGUUAUACAAAUUUGGUGUUGUACCAUAUACAAUAUCCCUAUUUAAUGAAAAAUAAUAGUUUAUCAUUUGUGAGUUAUUUGAUUUGUAUCCAAAUCUUUGGGUAAAAUAUUCUCCAGGAAGAUGUGUCAAGUUUAUCCUAUGGCUUUCUGUGCUCUAAUUCAGGAUGAACAAAACUGCAAUAAAGCAGAGUAAGUAAACACAAAGAGUGGCCAAGAUGGCCAACUAAAAGCAGAUAGGAUGCGUGGCUCUCACAGAGAGGAAAGGAAGGAAGGGGCAAGUAAAUACAGCACUGCCAACUGACACAUCCAGACAGUCAACACUGGGACUAAUCAAGGAAACAACUCGACCCACAGAGAAUGGAGAAGAGCAAGGCAGGACGACGGCCCAUCUGGGAGCAGAAUGUGGAGCCAAGGGAACCUCCCUUGCCAAGGUAAGCAGCGAGUGAUUGUGUGAUCCCAGGAAAACUCUUCUCCCAUGGAUCUUUGCAACCCUCAGAUCAGUAGAUCCCUUCAUAAACCCACUCCACCAGGGCCUUCAGUCUGACACACAGAGCUACAUGGAGUCUUGGCACAGCAGCUUCUCAGGCACACAGGAGACCUGGGAACUUUAGAUACUCUGGUUUUCCAGGCUUCCCAGCACAAGUAGCUGCAACUCUGGCAAAGCAGGAGGUUAGACCACCAUAGAUACCCCUAGGAAAGUGGCUGAAUCCAGGGGGCAAAGCAGCGAUGGUCUGCGGGCCCUGCUUUUAUGGCACCUCACAGGAUAAGACCCACUGGGUUGGAAUUCCAGCCAGCCACCAGUAGCAGUGUUGCACCUACCCGGGACAGAGCUCCUGAGGGGAGGGGCAGGCUGUCAUCUUUACUGUUUGGAGAGUCCAAUCUGACUGGGGCAGAAGGGAUACCCCCUAGCACAACACAGCUGCUCUACAAAAACAUAGCAAGACUGUUUCUUUAAGCAGAUGCCUGAUCCUGUUCCUCUUCACAGGGAAGAACCUCACAACUGGGGCCUCCAGCCACCCCUGCCAGUGCUCUCCAGCUGACAGAGAUUUGAAAACUCCCUGGGACAGAGCUCCCAGAGGCAGUGGGGGGCAGGCUGCCAUCUGUGCUGUUUGGGUGGCUUAGUAGUUCCAGCCUUUGGGCUUUGGAGAGUCCAAGCUGACUGCGGGUGAAAGUAGUACCCCAGCACAGAAGGUCCCUGACCCCAUUCCUCAUCACUGGGUGGAGCCUCCCAACCAGGGUCUCUGGCUGACAGAGGUUUCAGGCCUCUCUGGGAUGGAGCUCCCAGAGAAAGAAGGAGGCUGCCAUCUUUGCUGUUCACAGCCUUCACUGGUGAUACCUCCAGGUACUGGAAAAUCUGAGGUGAUUAGGGACUGGAGUGGAUCCCCAGCAAACUGCAGCAGGCCUUAAGAAAAGUGGCCAGACUGUUUAAAACAAAACAAAAAAACCAUCCAGAGGUCA